rnacentral:rRNA from 1 species
AGGCGAACCGGGGGAACUGAAACAUCUAAGUACCCCGAGGAAAAGAAAUCAACCGAGAUUCCCCCAGUAGCGGCGAGCGAACGGGGAGGAGCCCAGAGCCUGAAUCAGCAUGUGUGUUAGUGGAAGCGUCUGGAAAGGCGCGCGAUACAGGGUGACAGCCCCGUACACAAAAGCGCAUGUGCUGUGAGCUCGAUGAGUAGGGCGGGACACGUGGUAUCCUGUCUGAAUAUGGGGGGACCAUCCUCCAAGGCUAAAUACUCCUGACUGACCGAUAGUGAACCAGUACCGUGAGGGAAAGGCGAAAAGAACCCCGGCGAGGGGAGUGAAAAAGAACCUGAAACCGUGUACGUACAAGCAGUGGGAGCACAGGUUUACCUGUGUGACUGCGUACCUUUUGUAUAAUGGGUCAGCGACUUAUAUUCUGU